rnacentral:rRNA from 1 species
CUCAAAUGAAUUGACGGGGGCCCGCACAAGCGGUGGAGCAUGUGGUUUAAUUCGAUGCAACGCGAAGAACCUUACCUACUCUUGACAUCCAGAGAACUUUCCAGAGAUGGAUUGGUGCCUUCGGGAACUCUGAGACAGGUGCUGCAUGGCUGUCGUCAGCUCGUGUUGUGAAAUGUUGGGUUAAGUCCCGCAACGAGCGCAACCCUUAUCCUUGUUUGCCAGCGAGUAAUGUCGGGAACUCCAGGGAGACUGCCGGUGAUAAACCGGAGGAAGGUGGGGACGACGUCAAGUCAUCAUGGCCCUUACGAGUAGGGCUACACACGUGCUACAAUGGCGCAUACAGAGGGCAGCCAACUUGCGAAAGUGAGCGAAUCCCAAAAAGUGCGUCGUAGUCCGGAUUGGAGUCUGCAACUCGACUCCAUGAAGUCGGAAUCGCUAGUAAUCGUGGAUCAGAAUGCCACGGUGAAUACGUUCCCGGGCCUUGUACACACCGCCCGUCACACCAUGGGAGUGGGCUGCAAAAGAAGUAGGUAGUUUAACCUUCGGGGGGACGCUUACCACUUUGUGGUUCAUGACUGGGGUGAAGUCGUAACAAGGUAGCGCUAGGGGAACCUGGCGCUGGAUCACCUCCUUAAACGAUGAU